CGCUCAGAUGGUGAAAUGGUAUCACACCACGUUGUGGAGAUGAUCGUUGAAACAAAUACGAUCACCGAACCCGUGGCAUUGAGAGUUCGAUUCUCUCUCUGGGCAA